GUCUAUGGCCAACCAUCUUGAACACACCUGAUCUUGUCUGAUCUCAGAAGCUAAGCAGGGUUGGGCCUGGUUAGUACUUGGAUGGGAGACCAUCUGUGAAUACCAUACUGGGUGCUGUAGGUU
rnacentral:rRNA from 1 species